rnacentral:misc_RNA from 1 species
CGCACCUUGCGCUCCUCGGUAUUCCGAGGAGCAUGCCUGUUUGAGUGUCAUGAAUUUCUCAACUUACAGGCCCUUGUGGUUUGUAAGGUUGGACUUUGGAGGUGUUGUCGGCCAGGCGGUCGGCUCCUCUUAAACGCAUUAGUUCGGUUCCUUGUGGAUCGGCUCUCAGUGUGAUAAUGUCUACGCUGUGGCCGUGAAGUGCUUGGCGAGCUUCUUGACUGUCCCUUGUUUGGGGACGAUUGAUUGACCUCUGACCUCAAAUCAGGUAGGACUACCCGCUGAACUUAA